rnacentral:rRNA from 1 species
GAUGAACGCUGGCGGCGUGCCUAAUACAUGCAAGUCGAGCGAACAGACGAGGAGCUUGCUCCUCUGACGUUAGCGGCGGACGGGUGAGUAACACGUGGAUAACCUACCUAUAAGACUGGGAUAACUUCGGGAAACCGGAGCUAAUACCGGAUAAUAUAUUGAACCGCAUGGUUCAAUAGUGAAAGACGGUUUUGCUGUCACUUAUAGAUGGAUCCGCGCCGCAUUAGCUAGUUGGUAAGGUAACGGCUUACCAAGGCAACGAUGCGUAGCCGACCUCAGAGGGUGAUCGGCCACACUGGAACUGAGACACGGGCCAGACUCCUACGGGAGGCAGCAGUAGGGAAUCUUCCGCAAUGGGCGAAAGCCUGACGGAGCAACGCCGCGUGAGUGAUGAAGGUCUUCGGAUCGUAAAACUCUGUUAUUAGGGAAGAACAAAUGUGUAAGUACCUAUGCACGUCUUGACGGUACCUAAUCAGAAAGCCACGGCUAACUACGUG